GAUCUACCUGUCUGUGUGCGUUUCGUGACAGUAGAGUGAUUAUGCAGUAUAUUUGUUUAUGAAAGAUUAUGAAAUACACACUACUGAUCAAAAGUUAAAGGUCCUGGUAGUUUUACAGGAGAGGACAGUGCAGAGUUUCACAUUCACGGGGUCCUGCUGUCAUUAGUGGGGUCUUACAAGCACCUGGGAGUUUGCUGGGUCUGCGGCCUGCAGAAGCGGGUGGGUUUACCCGACGGGUGUUCAAUGCUGGAAAAUUAGACCUUACUGAAAUAAAGGGUCUAGGUUAAUGGAUCCA
ensembl:lncRNA